rnacentral:rRNA from 1 species
UACGUAGGUGGCAAGCGUUGUCCGGAAUUAUUGGGCGUAAAGCGCGCGCAGGCGGUCCUUUAAGUCUGAUGUGAAAGCCCACGGCUCAACCGUGGAGGGUCAUUGGAAACUGGGGGACUUGAGUGCAGAAGAGGAAAGCGGAAUUCCACGUGUAGCGGACGGAAAUGCGUAGAUAUCUGGAGGAACACCGGUGGCGAAGGCGGCAUCCUGGACCAUUACUGACGCUGAGGAGCGAAAGCCAGGGGAGCAAACGGG